UUGAACGCUGGCGGCAGGCCUAACACAUGCAAGUCGAACAGUAACAGGAAGAAGCUUGCUUCUUUGCUGACGAGUGGCGGACGGGUGAGUAAUGUCUGGGAAACUGCCUGAUGGAGGGGGAUAACUACUGGAAACGGUAGCUAAUACCGCAUAACGUCGCAAGACCAAAGAGGGGGACCUUCGGGCCUCUUGCCAUCGGAUGUGCCCAGAUGGGAUUAGCUAGUAGGUGGGGUAACGGCUCACCUAGGCGACGAUCCCUAGCUGGUCUGAGAGGAUGACCAGCCACACUGGAACUGAGACACGGUCCAGACUCCUACGGGAGGCAGCAGUGGGGAAUAUUGCACAAUGGGCGCAAGCCUGAUGCAGCCAUGCCGCGUGUAUGAAGAAGGCCUUCGGGUUGUAAAGUACUUUCAGCGGGGAGGAAGGGAGUAAAGUUAAUACCUUUGCUCAUUGACGUUACCCGCAGAAGAAGCACCGGCUAACUCCGUG
rnacentral:rRNA from 1 species